rnacentral:tRNA from 1 species
UCCCUGGUGGUCCUUUGGCUAAGACACCACCUUCUCAAUGCAGGGGGCCCAGGUUCCAUUCCUGGUCAGGGAA